UUGAUGUCAAAUUUGAUGAUAUUCAUGAUUUUGUAUGCAUGCAAUACAAAAUUGCUUCUUAUUGCAAAGAAAAACAACCAACUGAAAAUCAGCUAAUUGUAAGUUGGUCAACCGAGACGUAGAUGCGCAGAACGAACAAAAUUAUAAACUCGUCAUUGCGCAAUCUUGUUUCUAUCAUUCUUGCUGUGGUUCCAUUGCCAGCAGCGAGUUCACUAGGUUUAGAUAUUUUUAUUUCUCCCUUCUCUAAGGCAUUGUAUAAAAGUCGAUCUUGGGAAAUAGUGAUAUCAGAAAUGUUUCCAAUACAGCCAACAUCAAAAGAAAUGUAACGAUUAGCAUCCAGAAUUCCCCCAAAAAAAAAUAAACAAAACUGAAAAUUUGCAAAUUGUUGAGGUAUUUCUUGAAAAGGAUGAUGCACUUAGUAAAAACAGUACAUCAUAUCUCAAUGCAAAGGGUAGCAAUAGUCGAAAGACUGAAAGCCAAAAUAAGUUUGACGAAGCUCUUGACCAUCAACAUGAAUAAACAAUGAGUUUACAGCAUUUGGCAUAACGUGUAUUAUAGAGAAGGUUCAUGGUGUGCCGAUUGUCAAAACGUUUCUCUUUUUGGAGGGGCUCGGUUUUCUAUAAGUGGAUUUCACCAUAAAAAUUCUUAGCGGAUUUCACCAAUAUUUAACAUGAGUGGGUAGAACAUAGCAGAA